AUCCAAACAGGAUUCCAUGAUCUAGGAGCGUUUGGAGAUGAACACAAACCACUGAAGUGUGUGGGGAGGAAAUACCUUGGGCAGGAACCAUUGAUCUUCUGACCGUCCAGCUCGAAAGCCAGCAUCAGGCUCUCGGCACUUGAUGGCGUAUUUGGACCGUGUCUGGAGCUCACAUUUGGGGUUUAUGACGCGCAGAAAUUGUUUUCUGAAAAAGGAGACGUCAUGCAUCUUACUUGGGAUGGUAACAGAGACUGACGUGUAGGGAAAUAGCUGCUCUGCUUCCUGUGAAACCUUUAGUGUUGAAACCCUCACUGGGGGUGAUGGGCACCUGCCCGAGGUAUCCUCUUAGUCGGCGGCGCCUCCCAGGCUCUGUCCUCUUGUCCCUCUGCUCAGCCGGGGUGGGCAGGAAAGUCACCGUGAUUUCGAAACUCACUACCUGCUCUACCUUACUCCGUGCAGAAGGAUACUGAAUUCUAUUUGUAUUAUUAUCAUUUUGUACUCUUAGGACGAGCCCUGAAUUUCCCUUGAAGAUCCCCCCAAGGCACCUUCUAAGUGCUGGAGAUGGGAAGACAGUCCUGGAUUACCAGGGCGGGGGGUGGGGGGCGGUGGCCCACGUUACCACCGAGGUCUUGAUGAGUGAAGGAGCGAGGUAGAGGGAUCAGAGCCAAGGACGAUGGGACUCGGAAGCAGAAGAAGGAGAGACGCGCCUGCUGGCUUGGAAGAUGGGAGGGGCUGAGUCCAGGGACACGGCAGCCUGCAGAGGCCCGCUGCCCACUCCAGCCUGAGCCCUGUGGAAAGUAGUGCCAGGCUCCUGGGGAGGGGCAGUUCCCCUUCCUGUGGGGCUGCUGACGCGACAGCCCCGUGACGGGGAGGACUAGCCUCCCAGUGGACACACCCUCGGGUCUCUGUCCUGAGGGCACCGUGGUCUCCUCCAUCUGCACCGCCUGGACCACAGGAAGGAGACGCCAUGACCCCCAGCCUCACGGCCCUGCUCUACCUCGGGCUGAGUGUGGGCCUGAGGACCCAGAAGCAGGCAGGUGAGUCUGUCCCCAGGUGUCCCACCUCCCUCCUGAUCAUGGGGACAAGGGGCCAACCCCAGGCAGUGGGGUGGGGAACAGCA
rnacentral:lncRNA from 1 species